rnacentral:tRNA from 1 species
AGUUUUGUAGUAUAGUUAUUAGUAUAGCCUAGUGCAGGUAGGCAGGGUGUAAAAUUU